rnacentral:rRNA from 1 species
AUUCAGACAUUCUUGGUCAUUUAGAGGAAGUAAAAGUCGUAACAAGGUCUCCGUAGGUGAACCUGCGGAGGGAUCAUUACAAGAACGCCCGGGCUUCGGCCUGGUUAUUCAUAACCCUUUGUUGUCCGACUCUGUUGCCUCCGGGGCGACCCUGCCUUCGGGCGGGGGCUCCGGGUGGACACUUCAAACUCUUGCGUAACUUUGCAGUCUGAGUAAACUUAAUUAAUAAAUUAAAACUUUUAACAACGGAUCUCUUGGUUCUGGCAUCGAUGAAGAACGCAGCGAAAUGCGAUAAGUAAUGUGAAUUGCAGAAUUCAGUGAAUCAUCGAAUCUUUGAACGCACAUUGCGCCCCCUGGUAUUCCGGGGGGCAUGCCUGUUCGAGCGUCAUUUCACCACUCAAGCCUCGCUUGGUAUUGGGCAACGCGGUCCGCCGCGUGCCUCAAAUCGUCCGGCUGGGUCUUCUGUCCCCUAAGCGUUGUGGAAACUAUUCGCUAAAGGGUGUUCGGGAGGCUACGCCGUAAAACAACCCCAUUUCUAAGGUUGACCUCGGAUCAGGUAGGGAUACCCGCUGAACUUAAGCAUAUCAAUAAGCGGAGGAAAUGUCUCCGCGGCCG